rnacentral:rRNA from 1 species
UACGAAGGGGGCUAGCGUUGCUCGGAAUCACUGGGCGUAAAGCGCACGUAGGCGGAUUCCUAAGUCGGUGGUGAAAUCCUGGAGCUCAACUCCAGAACUGCCUCCGAUACUGAGAGUCUUCGAGUCCGGGAGAGGUGAGUGGAACUGCGAGUGUAGAGGUGAAAUUCGUAGAUAUUCGCAAGAACACCAGUGGCGAAGGCGGCUCACUGGCCCGGUACUGACGCUGAGGUGCGAAAGCUAGGGGAGCAAACGGG